CGGGAAGCAGAGCAGACCGGGCGGCCCCCGCUGUCUGUCGCCUCGCACGCUUUCUAACCCCGCGUCGUCGCCCGACCCACGUGCUGCAUUUCUGAAGAGCUGCUGCGCGCCACACCUGCUCCUUAUUUUUUAUUAUUAAAACGCCGUGCUCCUUUUAAAGAAGCGGUGCGCGGAAAGAAAAAAAAAACAACGAAAAGAAAAAGCACUUCCUGGCGGAGUUUGGCAACGAACCCCGUGAAUUUCGUUGGGAUUUUGAACAGGUUUUCCCACACCCACUCACAGCAACUCUUAAAAGAAGAGCGCAUCCAGGUGUCCACAGGAUAUAUACACACUGUAAAAAAUCGCAAUCGUGCUUGCUGAUGCUGCAGCCAGAGGCACAAAGCCAGAAUCUUAAGGAUUUCUUACCGCUGCCAAAACUUCUAAUUAUGGAUCGCAUUUGAGUCCGUGGGACACACCAUGGUUUGGGGAGGGUCCCCUCUGGAAACUGAGAAGAUCCAUGCUACUUAAACUUUUGCACCAUGGAACCCCCGGUGCGUGGUUUCCCCAGUGCAGUCUAUGGGCGCUGAUGUGAUCUGAUAUGUGAUUCUUUCCCCCUAACAAUCCUUUCCAGUUACAGCUCAUGGAAAAAACACUGAGAUUUCAAGAACUGGCUAGUCCACUGAAGUAGUUCAGCACGUCCCACUUCCUACAUGGCGAGAAGUUCCAAGGCACUGGGCUGGGAUAACCCAGCCAGAUGGGCGGCAGAUAAAUAUCACCGUCAGCAGCAGCCUUCUUCAAUGAUUUACCCCACCCAGAACACUCAAAGAGCGUUCUAGUUCCCUCCCACCGCUACCUGUUCAGAAUCAUUAGUAGGCAACCUCCUCAGCAAAAUAAAUGUAUGCCCAAAAACUUAAGACUCUAAAGCUGCAGUGAAAUGAGAUAGCAUAAAGGCAUUUGGCCUUAACUGAUCCUUGUUCUAAUUAGACAUUGUUCAGUCAUGUACAUGAGGCCAAUGGAGGCCUGUCUUCGUAUGACUCUACAUGCUUCCCCCAAAACUCAAAUAUAUCCUCCUAAAUCUCAAGAUGUAACAGAGGUUGAUAAUCUGGUGUGAUGAAAUCUGCACAAGCAGAGAUGAUUACUUCACAUUUUAAGGACUUUGUCAUAAGUUGCAAAUACGUUUUGAUUGCAAUCAGUCUUUUUUAUUAAUUUUUGCCUGUUAAUUGGAAUAUUUCGUUCUUUUAAAGAAUAAAGUGUUUCAGAUAAUUAAUAGGUAAAUUGAUUUUCGGGCAAGCAAAAUGCAUGCAACCAGAAGCAAGUUAUCACAUUUGAGAAGUUUGUGUGUGGUUUCAUGUUUCUUUUGCAAUGGGUGUGUAGGUGUAAAUACAUGAUUUCAAAACUUUAUGCCAUCUGAAACUGUCCAUCAGUGCAAGACAGCUCCUAUCACAGCCAGCACUGGCAGGGCUGAUGGGAGUUGCACUACAGGUUCCCCAUCUCUGGUGUCACUAGUUGGAACAGAAGUGCUACCAGUAUUUCCUGUAAGUAAAACUAACCAGAGGUAUUAUAAUAGCCUAACAUCACUGCCGUUCCCAAAGUUGUUGAAUUAUUAUUUUUCUACCGCAUGAGUGCAAACUUUUAUAUUGACAUAGGCAAUGAGAAGAUUGCUGUGAAUAUUUAAGUGGCCGAAACCAUGAAUAUUACUAGUUUAAAGAGGAUCCAAGCAAGCCAUGUCCAAAGAAGAAAAAAGUUUAUUGCAAAUAAUGAUGUUCAGAUCAUUCUGAAAAUGAGUAGUGCCCUUGCCUUUGAACUAAUUGUCCAAAGAAAAUCUACAGUCCAUAUUUCUGUAUCAUCUCAUUUGCUUUAGAAAUGUAAGCCUUCAUGGCAUCUUCUUUUGACAUACCUGUAAAGGGGAAAAAAUCAGCUUUAUUACUAUGCCUUAUUUUUUAUUUUCCCAUGACAUUAUUUUGAAUCAGAAUAAUAAAGAGCUGUAAUAAAU